CAGUCGCCACGGGAAUACGAAGGGGGCUAGCGUUGCUCGGAAUGACUAGGCGUAAAGGGCGCGUAGGCGGAUUGUUUAGUUAGGCGUGAAAUUCCUGGGCUUAACCUGGGGACUGCGCUUAAUACAGGCAGUCUAGAGUGAGGAAGAGGGUUGUGGAAUUCCCAGUGUAGAGGUGAAAUUCGUAGAUAUUGGGAAGAACACCGGUGGCGAAGGCGGCAACCUGGUCCUUGACUGACGCUGAGGCGCGAAAGCGUGGGGAGCAAACAGGAUUAGAGACCCCCGUAGUCCCUGUCUCUUAUAC
rnacentral:rRNA from 1 species